GCCUGGGUGGCUCAGUCAGUUGAGUGUCUGACUUCAGCUCAGGUCAUGAUCUCGCGGUUUGUGAGUUCGAGCCCCGCGUCGGGCU
rnacentral:tRNA from 1 species